GCCUGGGUGGCUCAGUCGGUUAAGCGGCCGACUUCGGCUCAGGUCACAAUCUCGCGGUUCGCGGGUUCAAGCCCCGCGUCGGGCU
rfam:Felis catus isolate Cinnamon breed Abyssinian chromosome B3, whole genome shotgun sequence.